CGCCCUAUUGGUGGGUCAUGAUAGUGUCUUAAACACUGUAGUAGAACAUGAACUGGCCCACUAAGCCCAUUAAGAGUUGCAGAAAAAGCAGCGAGGAGCACCAACACGGAUGCUUUCAUUGCUACUUGUUAAAUUAGCAAAAAAUUGUUGGUCCAUAUCUCCCAAAUAAAAAAUGUUGGUUCCCAUUACAGUUUUUUCUUAAUAAUCGGUGGUUGAACACAGCACUUUACUUUUUGAGGAAACUUCAGUUCAAAUGGAUGCAUAUAAGCAAUCCACCUCUGCAUCAGUUCCCAGUACACAGGUAAGAUGAUCUGUAGUCUAUACAGCAUGUUAUGUUACCUUAAGACCAAAGUGCCAGAAGAACACAACACUGUUAAGACCCCAGUGAUUAGCAAUGAGCUCCUCCCAGCACACUAAAGCUCUAAUUUUCUUUAGUCGCAUCUCUUGAAUUGCACUAGACAAAGGUUGAAAUGGCAUCAAGGAGUCUCACUAGACAAAUCAUGCAAAGAAAAUUAAGUGAUGUUUCACAUAUGACAUGCAUCAUUCAUCCUCCAAACAGCUGUUGCAUUUGGAUUUUAUACACAUACAUAAACAAUACUAAAAAAAAAAACGUACGAACAAAUACUCUUAUUGAUGUCAAUUUCCAGAGUCUUUAAACUGCAGGAGAACCAAUAUUAAACCUCUUCAGCGGAUAGAAAAGAUAGAUUAACACUAAGGUGAUGCAUGCUGCUUUUGCCACAAUCCAAGAAAACCAAUUUUUAUUUUUGGUAGCCACCUCCUCGAGCGUUGUAGUCCUCUUCAACUUUCGCAGUCAAAUAAACGGGAGGGAAAUCAGUCACAACGUCGAAGGUCUUCUCCUUCAUCAUCUUCUCCACAUCGGCCUUCUUCAAGACGGUGCGUUUAAUUGGAGGUCGAUUACGGCGCUGAUCGCGAGUGUAAUACUUGAUGUCGUAUACCGUUUCUGGGUCCGAUGUGGGCACGAUGGGCAAGACCUUGGGGGUAGCAGGGCAGUGGAUACGGUAAUCAAGAGCAUUGGGUACGGCGGAUCGGUAUUCCGGGUCGGCGCAUGGCCCCGUUAUCUCCCAGGGCUUCUUGAUGAAGCGUUUUAGGGUUUGGAAGAGAGAGGAAGUGGCAGCGGUGGCGGGUUUCGCCAUCUCGGAGAGAGAGAGAGAGGCCAAAGCGGUGGCGGAGCUGUUGAUUAAUGAAGGAGUGGCCCGAUAGGGAAUGGGGUGGGAUUAAUUUAAGAAGCGGAAGUCGAUUUUGG
rnacentral:misc_RNA from 1 species